ensembl:lncRNA
UGCUGCAGCAUGUCAUUUGGAUGUUGAAGGAAAAUCCCCUGAUUCAGUCUGCCAUUUCUGACAGUCUCCCUCUAGACCACAUUAAUAAGCUUUUUAGAGCAGUGAAUGCAGAAUAAUCAGCAGGCAGCCUGCCCUCAAAAUGGAGACAGAACAGACAGCAGAAAUGCCUUCUUCCCUUUGUAGCUCUGGUGCAUAGGUGACCCUUCUCUCACAGAGCUGCAAAUGAUUUUCACUAAGAUUGCCUUUGAAAAGCCAUAACGUAAUUAACCAUUUUAUGCAUGUGAUGUCUGCCCAGCUUCACAACUCGAGGCUUUUGCAAUGGAAAAAGAUGCAGCUGCAUUUGAGGUAGAUUUAUGAAACGUGCUAACAAUAGAGCAGACGGAUAGAAAGGCUGCCUGGCAUCCUGGAAUACCUGGGGAAUUCCACUCAGAAAACAAACAUGUUACUCUUUAAUGUAGACUCACAUCUCAUUAUAAAAUCACAAGUGGAAUGAGACACACUUCGCCUUUGUAACUGUGUUGCCAGGAGGCAGGAAGGAUUUGCUGGUGAGGCAUUACUAAACACUGGAAAUAAGAAAGCAGACACCUCGGAGCCCUGAAAACUCUUUUAAUUUCAUUUGGAGACGAAGGAAGUUAGCACCAUUGAAAAUCAAGCUCAAGAUAUGCACAUACAGACAAGAAAAGUGAAAGGAGGUUGAAAGGAGAAGGAAAGAAAUGUAAUCCUGUGUGAUGUGGUAAGAUGUAGAGAGGCUGAGAGAAUAAAACAUGGCAGCAAAGAUGGAGACCAGUAGAUGCCACCGUUUUAGAACAUCUUGAUUCUCAACAGCAGCAUCUUCAAGAGAAAAGACUUCAUCAAAUAAAUGGACAGACUAACACAGCUGCCAUAAUGUCAGCCAUUGGAAUUUCAUUAGCAAAUGCUGGCUGUAGAAAUGAAAUAUGUCAAGUGGAACCCAAACAUCUUUAAGGCUGUGCAUCUUCUAUAUCAGUAAUAAAACAAAAUAAAGAAGGUAUAACUCUAUCCUC